ensembl:lncRNA
GCUUGGGCCAAGCGCAGCGGAGACGGCUCCGCUCCCGGUGAAAGGCUGCAGCACACAUGGCUGCUUUGCCGUGGUGCUGCUGAGCAGCGGGGUCUGCUGGCCCUCCGAAAGAUCAUCAGAAGGAAGGGCCGCUCCAGGAGGGAAAAUUUUCCCAUCGGAGGUUAAUUCUCUAGAAUUUUAGACCAAGUAUUGAGACACGUACUUAGCUUUGCCAGUCUGAUUUUGCCCACAAGGGUAGCAGACAUCUACCCCAGGGAGCAGAGCAGAGCCCAAAUCCUUUGUGAAUGCAACCAGAGAUAUUCUCAUGCUUCGUUUGCGAACACAGUGCCCAACCUGGUUAAACAAAUUAAUUCUUUUCCUCGAGGGGCUCUGCUUAAUGGAGGGAUUUCCAGAAGAACCCAAGCCUAAGACCAGUAAUAUGCUUGCCUUACCCCAGAUUUAUUUGUUGAGCUGCAGUAUCUCACUAUCAGUGAAAGCUAGCAGAGCGAUCAGCAGCAAGUUGCCAAAAGAUAAGGAAGACUGCUGAGGAGAACUUUGAGAAGUGUCUCCUGUGAAGGUUCUGCACCAAAGCUGACUCAGAUUCUGCUUUGUCGAGGCAGAGGCUAAACUUUAGAGUGGUGUCAAGUCUAUUUUUAUGAUACUAAGAUCUCCCUGGGAAUUUAUGAGAUUCUCUCUUUGGAUUCAAAUUAUCUCUUCAGGAAGUGUGGGUUAUAGAUCAGUCAUUUUAAACCAGCUGACCUCAGUCACCUUCAGAGACAGGUAAGCUCAAAUUGAAAGGAUCCCUAGGGUCAGUGGUUUCUGAAGAGGGGGGGGUGUGGGGGGGUUGUGGGUGUGUGUGCACUAUCUAAAUACUCAAAUAAGAGAAACUUGAUGCCAGGUGAGAGGGAAUUCCCUUGCAGCAGAUACAAAACACUAAAUUAAUGAAAGAACCAUUGACAUUUCAUUCUGGAACCGUUAAUGCUUCCCAAGUGGUCCAGGAUUAAGUGGAAUUAAAUUCAAUAGUGAAUCCCACUUUAUAUGAUGAUACAAGACACUAAUAGUAAUUACCUGUUGAGUGAAAAAGGAGAUAAGCAGUAGUUGAGGCGUUUGGGUCACUCAUAGCAGACUUUAGCAAUUGCCUGAAAAGGUGUUGCCUUUUGUACAGCUCAUUAUAAUCUAUCUUUAGAGCUUCGUCACUUUCAUAUCUGUUUUAUGUGCAAGAACUUCCAUGUCGAGAUGGAACGCUUGCCUCAAAUAUUCAGGGUGGGUUCAUUAAAUUUGCAACAGCAGUCAGGGGUGAAAAAGCCACUUGUCAAGCUCAGCCUGCUCAUCAAUCCACAUGCAGGUCUCCUGUUGUCUGCUGGGCAAGGAAGUGUUCAGUGUUUCCAGUGGCUUUGAAGGCUAUAGUGAGGCAGCAAAGUGCCAGGAAUGUUAGUGAGAUUGUGGAAGGCAGUAAGCCACACAGUGCAUUUCUGGAGUGAAUUUUCUAAGCAGUUCAUGAUUUUAAAACUCAAAGCUCCAUCCACAUUGCAAUUUAAGCAUUUGUAGCUAUUCUGAACAAGGGAGAAAUUAGGAGAUGCUGGAUUCUAUUACAGGAGAGUUCUUUGAUGCUGUUUUCAAACACUAUCCAGAUACUCCAUCUGAAGCUUUCAUUUAGAGUAAAUACUACAAAGGAUUAGUUUUUUGAAAGAAAUUAAAAGGAUGGAACAUUUUCUUGGCUGUUAGACAUCUGAGAAAUCCAGAAGUGGAUGAUGCCAAACUAUCUGUCAUAUGUGUACUUCCUGUAGCCUUACUCUCCUGAAUGAAAUGUGGUUACCACAAAGGAUACUUGCAAUUGAGAAGGAGAGAUCAACUAGAUUUGGCUUUCCUAAAUAUUGCCUGUCUCUUAGAAAGUGUUUUACAGUUUCUAUUACAAAUUUGAAGGAAAGGUUUUCUCAUUAACAAUUGUCAGGUUACAUUUUCAGCACAGAAAAAUUAAGGAUAUUGAGGUAAGUUUAAAGCCACCAUUUUAGAGUUUUAGUCAAGCACUUUCAUCAACUGAUUGGAAUGGCACCACAGGCACCCAAUAUACUUACAGGACCAUUUACAAAUAUGCUUCUAUUUAAUUAAUCCCUGAAGUAAAAAUAAAUAAAUAAUAAAAAUACA